rnacentral:rRNA from 1 species
UCGGGAAACCGGAGCUAAUACCGGAUACGUUCUUUCSUCGCAUGAGGAAAGAUGGAAAGACGGUUUCGGCUGUCACUUACAGAUGGGCCCGCGGCGCAUUAGCUAGUUGGUGAGGUAAUGGCUCACCAAGGCCACGAUGCGUAGCCGACCUGAGAGGGUGAUCGGCCACACUGGGACUGAGACACGGCCCAGACUCCUACGGGAGGCAGCAGUAGGGAAUCUUCCGCAAUGGACGAAAGUCUGACGGAGCAACGCCGCGUGAGCGAAGAAGGCCUUCGGGUCGUAAAGCUCUGUUGUUAGGGAAGAACAAGUGCCAGAGUAACUGCUGGCACCUUGACGGUACCUAACCAGAAAGYYACGGCUAACUACGUGCCAGCAGCCGCGGUAAUACGUAGGUGGCAAGCGUUGUCCGGAAUUAUUGGGCGUAAAGCGCGCGCAGGUGGUUCCUUAAGUCUGAUGUGAAAGCCCACGGCUCAACCGUGGAGGGUCAUUGGAAACUGGGGGACUUGAGUGCAGAAGAGGAAAGUGGAAUUCCAAGUGUAGCGGUGAAAUGCGUAGAGAUUUGGAGGAACACCAGUGGCGAAGGCGACUUUCUGGUCUGUAACUGACACUGAGGCGCGAAAGCGUGGGGAGCGAACAGGAUUAGAUACCCUGGUAGUCCACGCCGUAAACGAUGAGUGCUAAGUGUUAGAGGGUUUCCGCCCUUUAGUGCUGCAGCUAACGCAUUAAGCACUCCGCCUGGGGAGUACGGCCGCAAGGCUGAAACUCAAAGGAAUUGACGGGGGGYCCGCACAAGCGGU